rnacentral:rRNA from 1 species
GACGAACGCUGGCGGCGUGCUUAACACAUGCAAGUCGAGCGGUAAGGCCCUUUCGGGGGUACACGAGCGGCGAACGGGUGAGUAACACGUGGGUGACCUGCCCUCAGCUCUGGGAUAAGCCUGGGAAACCGGGUCUAAUACUGGAUAUGACUCCAUGACGCAUGUUGUGGGGUGAAAGCCUUGUGCGGCUGAGGAUGGGCCCGCGGCCUAUCAGCUUGCUGGUGGGGUGAUGGCCUACCAAGGCGACGACGGGUAGCCGGCCUGAGAGGGCGACCGGCCACACUGGGACUGAGACACGGCCCAGACUCCUACGGGAGGCAGCAGUGGGGAAUCUUGCGCGAAUGGGCGAAAGCCUGACGCAGCGACGCCGCGUGAGGGAUGACGGCCU